AUGGCUGGGAGAGGGGUCCAAGUGAAUAGAGGGGAUGUUGCUAGACUUUGGAUGUAUGCUCUAGAAGGAAAGAUUCCUUUAAAAGAUAAAUUCCCUAUGCUUUUUUAUAUCUAUGUGGAACCAAACUGUACUGUAGACAAAAUAAACAAUAUGAAUCAUGUCUCUUCUUUUAGAAGAAGAUUGCCUCCUGAGUUGAUGCAACAAUGGGGAGAGGUGAAAAAAGAUGUUCAAAAUCCAAUUCAAAAUGAGCUCCCUGAUGAGGUAUACUGGGGACUUGAUAAUACUAGAAAGUACACAACAAAAUCAAUGUAUAGGUGGCUGGAAAAGGACCUUGCUGGAUCAUGCUUUAAAUGGAUUUGGGAGGCAUGCAUGCCUCUAAAAAUUUAA
rnacentral:rRNA from 1 species